rnacentral:rRNA from 1 species
AUUGAACGCUGGCGGCAGGCCUAACACAUGCAAGUCGAGCGGAUGAUGGGAGCUUGCUCCUGGAUUCAGCGGCGGACGGGUGAGUAAUGCCUAGGAAUCUGCCUGGUAGUGGGGGACAACGUUUCGAAAGGAACGCUAAUACCGCAUACGUCCUACGGGAGAAAGCAGGGGACCUUCGGGCCUUGCGCUAUCAGAUGAGCCUAGGUCGGAUUAGCUAGUAGGUGAGGUAAAGGCUCACCUAGGCGACGAUCCGUAACUGGUCUGAGAGGAUGAUCAGUCACACCGGAACUGAGACACGGUCCAGACUCCUACGGGAGGCAGCAGUGGGGAAUAUUGGAAAAUGGGCGAAAGCCUGAUCCAGCCAUGCCGCGUGUGUGAAGAAGGUCUUCGGAUUGUAAAGCACUUUAAGUUGGGAGGAAGGGCAGUAAGUUAAUACCUUGCUGUUUUGACGUUACCGACAGAAUAAGCACCGGCUAACUUCGUGCCAGCCGCCGCCGUAACAC